UCAACCUUUAUGGGAAAGGUAAGGAUACUGUGUCACUUGUGUGUCAGUAGGUGGCUAAGCAGAGAGAGGCCAUGCAUACACUCAGUGUUCUGGUCUAGGAACAUCUGAAUGAUUAGCAGCUUAACAUU